GGGCCGGAGCCUGAUGCAGCGACGCCGCGUGAGGGAUGACGGCCUUCGGGUUGUAAACCUCUUUCAGCAGGGAAGAAGCCACAAGUGACGGUACCUGCAGAAGAAGCGCCGGCUAACUACGUGCCAGCAGCCGCGGUAAUACGUAGGGCGCAAGCGUUGUCCGGAAUUAUUGGGCGUAAAGAGCUCGUAGGCGGUUUGUCGCGUCUGCUGUGAAAGCCCGGGGCUCAACCCCGGGUCUGCAGUGGGUACGGGCAGACUAGAGUGCAGUAGGGGAGACUGGAAUUCCUGGUGUAGCGGUGAAAUGCGCAGAUAUCAGGAGGAACACCGAUGGCGAAGGCAGGUCUCUGGGCUGUUACUGACGCUGAGGAGCGAAAGCAUGGGGAGCGAACAGGAUUAGAUACCCUGGUAGUCCAUGCCGUAAACGUUGGGCACUAGGUGUGGGGGACAUUCCACGUUCUCCGCGCCGUAGCUAACGCAUUAAGUGCCCCGCCUGGGGAGUACGGCCGCAAGGCUAAAACUCAAAGGAAUUGACGGGG
rnacentral:rRNA from 1 species